rnacentral:rRNA from 1 species
AGUAACGCGUGGAUAAUCUACCCUGAGGCCCGGGAUAACCGCCGAAAGGCAGGCUAAUACCGGAUAAUGUCCCACUACCUAAGUAGUGUGACCAUAGGAGGCUCUGCUUCCGCCACAUGAUGAGUCCGCGUACCAUUAGCUAGUUGGUAGGGUAAUGGCCUACCAAGGCUACGAUGGUUAGCUGGUCUGAGAGGACGAUCAGCCACACUGGAACUGAGACACGGUCCAG